UACGUAGGGUGCAAGCGUUAAUCGGAAUUACUGGGCGUAAAGCGUGCGCAGGCGGUUUUGUAAGUCUGUCGUGAAAUCCCCGGGCUCAACCUGGGAAUUGCGAUGGAGACUGCAAGGCUAGAAUCUGGCAGAGGGGGGUAGAAUUCCACGUGUAGCAGUGAAAUGCGUAGAGAUGUGGAGGAACACCGAUGGCGAAGGCAGCCCCCCUGGGUUAACACUGACGCUCAGGCACGAAAGCGUGGGGAGCAAACAGG
rnacentral:rRNA from 1 species